rnacentral:pre_miRNA from 14 species
CGUGACCUACCCUGUAGUUCCGGGCUUUUGUGGGUUGAAAUAUUAUAAAUAUAGAUUCAUAUACGCUUAUCAGAAGCUCGUUUCUAUAGAGGUAUCUCACGG